UACGUAGGGGGCGAGCGUUGUCCGAAGUUACUGGGCGUAAAGCGCGCGUAGGCGGGUUGGCAAGUCUGCUGUGAAAGCCCGGGGCUUAACUCCGGAGGGUCGGUGGAUACUGCCAGUCUUGAAGGUGCUAGGGAGAGAUGGAAUUACCGGUGUAGCGGUGAAAUGCGUAGAUAUCGGUAGGAACACCAGUGGCGAAGGCGGUCUCUUGGGGCAGUCUUGACGCUGAGGAGCGAAAGCGUGGGGAGCGAACAGG
rnacentral:rRNA from 1 species